ensembl:miRNA MIR432 microRNA 432
UGACUCCUCCAGGUCUUGGAGUAGGUCAUUGGGUGGAUCCUUUAUUUCCCUACGUGGGCCACUGGAUGGCCCCUCCAUGUCUUGGCGGAGAUCA